CCUACGGGAGGCAGCAGUAGGGAAUCUUCCACAAUGGGCGAAAGCCUGAUGGAGCAACGCCGCGUGGGUGAAGAAGGUCUUCGGAUCGUAAAACCCUGUUGUUAGAGAAGAAAGUGCGUGAGAGUAACUGUUCACGUUUCGACGGUAUCUAACCAGAAAGCCACGGCUAACUACGUUCCAGCAGCCGCGGUUAUACGUAGGUGGCAAGCGUUAUCCGGAUUUAUUGGGCGUAAAGGCAAGCCAGGCGGGCUUUUAAGGCUGAUGUGAAAGCCUUCGGGUUAAACGGAGUAGUGCUUUGGAAACUGGGUGACUUGAGUGCAGGAGGGGAGAGUGGAACUCCAUGUGUAGCGGUGAAAUGCGUAGAUAUAUGGAAGAACACCAGUGGCGAAAGCGGCUCUCUGGUCUGUAACUGACGCUGAGGUUCGAAAGCGUGGGUAGCAAACAGGAUUAGAUACCCGUGUAGUC
rnacentral:rRNA from 1 species